CACGGUAAACGAUGGAUGCCCGCUGUUUGCGAUAUACUGUGAGCGGCCAAGAGAAAUCGUUAAGCAUCCCACCUGGGGAGUACGCCGGCGACGGUGAAACUCAAAGGAAUUGACGGGGGCCCGCACAAGCGGAGGAACAUGUGGUUUAAUUCGAUGAUACGCGAGGAACCUUACCCGGGCUUGAACUGCAGAGGAAGGAUUGAGAGAUCAUGACGCCCUUCGGGGCCUCUGUGGAGGUGCUGCAUGGUUGUCGUCAGCUCGUGCCGUGAGGUGUCGGCUUAAGUGCCAUAACGAGCGCAACCCUUUUCAUCAGUUGCCAUCAGGUGAUGCUGGGCACUCUGGUGAUACUGCCACCGUAAGGUGUGAGGAAGGUGGGGAUGACGUCAAAUCAGCACGGCCCUUACGUCCGGGGCUACACACGUGUUACAAUGGGGCAUACAGAAGGCAGGACCAUGGCAACAUGGUUCAAAUCUUAAAAGUGCUCCUCAGUUCGGAUUGGGGUCUGCAACCCGACC
rnacentral:rRNA from 1 species